CCUCAAGUAGUCAGAGAGGGUAGCUCCUGCCUAGCAUGCCCAAUCCAUCUACAUCCGGGACUCUCUCUCUGCGGCCAGGGUGUUUUAAAAGGUCUUGGACUGUUUGUGAAUAUAUACUGGAUGAGGCAAUCCAGGCACAAAGAAGCAAAUGGGGAUUCCCCAAUGGUGCUCACCUGUAACUGCAACACAGAGGAAGCUGAGGCAGGAGGACCUCCAGUUCAAGGUCUAUCCACCAAGGCUGUAUCACAAAUUUUUUAAAGUGUUUAAAUAUGAGCCAAGUCACACAAAUAAUAACAGUCCACACACCUGGGUACAAAGAGACCAGAUGACAGUACAGAGCAUUCCUAGGUCCUCAAUAAAGUGAAGUGUGGUUAAACCGAACAACCCGGGCUUUAAUAACCCUUGAGAGGAGACAAAGGGGUAUAUGUUAAUUGUUUGUUGCUGCCUAAUAAACUAUCACAAACUUAA